AGCAAUCGUCGCGUUUCCGAAGAAACAAACGGCGGACAGUGACAGGCGCGGUGCGUUUAUCAGCCAAAUGGUUCUGGCGAGAGCUGCUUGCCACUGAUAAAUAGUUGUGGCAAACUCAGCAAUCUCCCCUAGCGUCGACCAUCGAAGAAGCGCUCCUUCGCCGGAGCCACCGAUGAGGCAGCGGUCGCAUGACCAUCGCAAUUAAGUACGCACUGCUGCCGCUAUUACACGGAGAUAUGGUUCGGCCACCGCUCGCACGCUCCGUUUACUUUUUGGGGCACUGUACUACUGGACUACGACAAGAUGUUCUUUCAUUACGAAGCGUUGGCUCUCUUGGACACUGUCAUAAGGGUGAUUGCUCUGCAUUGAAGGAAUCUUUAGUUGUUUCAAGGCAAUUUUCGUGUCUGCGCGUGAUCACUGCGUGAAGCUGCGCCUGCUGUGCGUGGCCUCCGAGAUCGUGCCGGCGUGCUGCGUCGCGUAGAUCCCGCGGCGGCCGCGGGGUCCCGCGACGAGUGCUCUUGGCGAUGAGGCGCUCUUACAUCCGCGUGCCUUGAUUGGUCUCUGGGGGUGACGUGGCACCAGCACGUGACGACGAGGAGGAGCCUGAGCGCCCACCUCUCAUCGAGAGAUCGUCGCGCACGUCAAUACAUAGAGAAACGGCCAGAUACCCUGCUGGUUUAACAGCAAAACCUGCGUGAAGGAGCCUAAGUAUAGUAAUCGCAAUAAAAAGAAGAAAGCGACUUUGAAUUGGGUGAUGCUGGGACGAAAUGCAGACCAAACAAAUCCGUGAACUGUACACCUUGUGUUUCCCCUUUCCUAACUGUACCUGUCUAACCGUGCACUUUAUUUUCUGACGCCAGAUGCCAUUUCUAAUACACGUUCACAAGCUUGUGCUCUUUGCGUAAACGUUCAAAAUCGUCGCGUGCGCUGGUUUUCUCGGGCUAGUGCGUGUUGAAAACGG